CCACCGCUUCAGAACAUGCCUGGUGACCUCAUUUAUGUGAACACUUUAGCCAGAACAAAACUCAGCAAGCCACUGAUGAAUCCAGUGAAAAGGAGAGACCUACUGAGCCUUUGGGAAUGUAUGAUGCCUUGGAUUGGUCCAGGGUUCUGAAGCCUAAGUCACUCAUUGUACGCAGGAAGCCGAAUCUGCUGUGUGGAUGAGGUCUCCUGCUGCUCUGGGACCGUGCUUCACUCCAAGCCUCAGAGGUGGACACCUUUGAUACCAGGGUGACCAAUCCCUGGUCCUGGUCCUACCUACAUGAGAGUGAUAGAGCUCUGGGCUGGGGUACAAUUGAGUGACACACUCUUCCAAGUCCUCUUCCUCCACCACAGAGCACAAUUUCAUAAAGGUUUUGGCUUGCAUUAUAGGUAAGACAGCACUGUGAGGUGGGGUGGGGUGGUGGGGGUGAUGAGAGAUGAUGUUUGAGCAGGGAGGAAGAGUAGAGGUGGGCCAGCAGACAGAUGGGGGUUGGAAAGCCCAGGGCACAUCUACUUGGGCAAAGCAGAAUCUUAUAGUUAACCCAUCCUCCUAGGCAGUUUGUCUUACUCAAACCAGUGUCGCAAAGUAGUUGUCCAGCCCCAGAAGUGAGAUGUAUUGUGGUAAAUAAAACAGUCUCUGAAUCCCUUUAGAACUCCACAGGGAUUCCAGAAUUCCCUUAGGCUUCUUCCAGAUUGGGCCUUGGAUAACUGCCCAGGUGGUCAGGCUUUUAUCAGCUUCAUCCUUCACCCACCAUGAAAGGACACUUCCUGUUUGCCUCCUGUCAUUCCCCAAGUCAAGGAUCCCUCCUGCAAAUGACCUGGCUCCCUCCAGGAGCAUGGCCCAGGCCCCUGUGCUGGGCCUUAUGGCCAUAAAGGAUUUCUGGGUCAGGAAGGGAGACUGCGGCCAGCUUCUCCUGCAACAGUGCAACUUGGGCACAGUGGCAGCAGCUCCACGUUGGGUCGCUGGAGACCCACACAAAAUGGCUGAUGGAUAAUGACAGCAGGUAAUGGUGCCAGGGGAUGGCAGCUGAGUAAUAGCCACUGGGUAAUAGCUUCAGGGCAAUGGCUGCAGGGCAAUGAUUGCUGGGUAAUGGUUGCAGGGCAAUGGCUGCUGGGUAAUUACUAAAAGGCAAUGGCAGCCAGAUAAUAGCAUAAUGGCUACUGGGUAAUGCCUAUGCUCGCUGGCAUACAUGCAGCCCGGGUCAGCUGCCAGGUGGGGUGGGUGGGGCUUAUUUCCUCCUGGGGCACAUCCUUGGUGAAUGUCCACCCUCUGCAGAGCUGCUAACUGAGCCCUCAAUAUGCUGGAAUCUGCAAAGGAAACAUGGCCGAUUCUAGGCAGUGAACCAGCUCCCUCUUUCCUUACCUGGCAUUCGCAUCACCACACUUUCCAGUGUGCUUCCCUGUGAGCUUUUCACCAUCCCUGUCCCUCAACCAAAAUUCAUCUCAACCAAAAUUCAAACUGAGUCAUGCAAACAUGUAUUUUUCAUUUCUGUCCAAGCAACUAUUUAUAGUCUCAUUAACAAAUUUUAAGUAAUAUAAGUAAAUGUUACCCAGAUAAUCUUAAAGCCUUCAU
rnacentral:lncRNA from 1 species